UACAACUGUACUGACAACAGUACCAACAACAGAAUUGACCGGUAGCACUCUAUACACAACAGAGGCUAUAACAACCACACAGCCAACAACAGAAGAAACAACUGUAUCUACAACUACUCCAGCUCCAACAACUACAACUGAGGAAGCAACAACAACAGAGGAAAGAACCACAGCUACAACUGUACUGACAACAGUACCAACAACAGAACUAGCCACUACCACAGAAUCAACUACACAGUUUAGAACAAGCACAGGACCAACAAUAGUAGAAACAACUCUAUCUACAACUACUCCAGUUCCAACAACAACAACUGAGGAAGCAACAACAACAGAGGAAACAACCACAGCUAGAACUGUACUGACAACAGUACCAACAACAGAACUGACUGGUAGCAGUCUAUACACAACAGAGGCUAUAACAACCACACAGCCAACAACAGAAGAAACAACUGCAUCUACAACAACUGUAGCCCCAACCAAUAGAACUCAGGAACCAAGUACUACAGAGAAAACAACUACAGAUACAACUGCAUUGACAACAGUACAAACAACAGAACGAACCACUAGUACAGAAUCAACUACACAGGCUACAACAAGCACAGAACCAACAACAGUUGAAACAACUGCAUCUACAACUACUCCAGCUCCAACCACUCCAACUGAGGAAGCAACAACUACAGAGGAAACAACUACAGCUCCAACUACAACAUUAACUACAGCAGCAACAUCAGCACUAAUCACUACCAGAGAAUCAACUACACAGUUUAGAACAAGCACAGGACCAACAAUAGUAGAAACAACUGUAUCUACAACUACUCCAGUUAAAACAACAACAACUGAGGAAGCAACAACAACAGAGGAAACAACCACAGCUACAACUGUACUGACAACAGUACCAACAACAGAAUUGACCGGUAGCACUCUAUACACAACAGAGGCUAUAACAACCACACAGCCAACAACAGAAGAAACAACUGUAUCUACAACAACUGUAGCCCCAACCAGUACUACUCAGGAACCAAGUACUACAGAGGAAAUAACUACAGAUACAACUGCACUGACAACAGCACAAACAACAGAACUAACCACUCAUACAGAAUCAACUACACAAGCUACAACAAGCACUGAACCAACAACAGUUGAAACAACUGCAUCUACAACUACUCCAGCUCCAACAACUACAACUGAGGAAGCAACAAGAACAGAGGAAAGAACCACAGCUACAACUGUACUGACAACAGUACCAACAACAGAACUAGCCACUACCACAGAAUCAACUACACAGUUUAGAACAAGCACAGGACCAACAAUAGUAGAAACAACUGUAUCUACAACUACUCCAGUUCCAACAACAACAACUGAGGAAGCAACAACAACAGAGGAAACAACCACAGCUACAACUGUACUGACAACAGUACCAACAACAGAACUGACUGGUAGCAGUCUAUACACAACAGAGGCUAUAACAACCACACAGCCAACAACAGAAGAAACAACUGCAUCUACAACAACUGUAGCCCCAACCAAUAGAACUCAGGAACCAAGUACUACAGAGGAAACAACUACAGAUACAACUGCAUUGACAACAGUACAAACAACAGAACGAACCAAUAGUACAGAAUCAACUACACAGGCUACAACAAGCACAGAACCAACAACAGUUGAAACAACUGCAUCUACAACUACUCUAGCUCCAACCACUCCAACUGAGGAAGCAACAACUACAGAGGAAACAACUACAACUCCAACUACAACAUUAACUACUGCAGCAGCAACAGAACUAACCACUACCACAGCUCCAACUAUACAGUUUACAACAAGCACAGAACCAACAACAGUAGAAACAACUGUAUCUACAACUACUCCAGUUCCAACAACUACAACUGAGGAAGCAACAACAACAGAGGAAACAACCACAGCUACAACUACAACAUUAACUACAGCAGCAACAACAGAACUAACCACUACCACAGAAUCAACUACACAGUUUACAACAAGCACAGCACCAACAACAGUAGAAACAACUGUAUCUACAACUACUCCAGCUCCCACAACAACAACAGAGGAAGCAACUACAACAGAGGAAACAACCACAUCUACAAUGGUAGUGACUAUAGCACCAACAACAGAACUGUCAACUACACAGUCUACAACAAGCACAAGACCAACAAGUACAGACACAAUUACUCCUGCAAGUAGUACAGCUUUAAUUACUACAGUUGAAACUUCAAUAUCUACAGAGGAACGUCCAACUACAUCACCCAGAACUGCACAACCAAUAAGAACUACUACUGGGUCUACAACACAAUCUCCAACUUCUACAGCAACACCUUCAUUAAUACCUGAUUCAGCUGUGGUCCAGACCAGGAUGGUCUUCAGUUCCUCCUCUCCCAUUCCCAGUGAGAGUUUGGUCCUCAGUGCGAUUCAGACUCUUCUCAGUGCUCGACUCACAAACCUCUCUGACUCUGUAAAAGUGCUGAACUUCACCUAUGAUAAAAUUUCAGAAACCUCCUAUGCAGUCAUCUUCACAUUGAGCAUCAGUAACAUCAGCAUGUCUAAGAACCCUGACCUCAGGAACGACACCUACACCCAAGUGGAGAACAUCAUCAAUAACGCUGUGAGUGUACAUGAUCAGGCACAUAUGAACAUUCUAACAAAUGUCUAUAGAUAGGGUGGGAUUCAAAUUCAGAGUUAUGAAUUAGUCCAAAAAUUCACAGUGAACACAGGGCUAUCUGAGACACGACAGACUCAUAGCAGGGAAUCUGCUAAAGAUCCCAAACCCUAGA